CGAGCCGUGGGGCCGCCAUCUUGAUCCGGUCACCCGCUCCACUCAGUGUUAUCUGUUUGACAGGCGCAAUUAAGUGUCAGAGCAUUUCAUCAAUCAUAACUUGCUGAAUACUAAACUGAUUUUCAUGCAGUUUUUUUUUUCUACAAACGUCACGCAUGUAUUUUGCAGCACAGUGCUCUGGCAUCUUGAAGUCUCUGCUGCUUCAGUUUACAGCCGUGGAUGUAAAUUUGAAGAACAACAAUUCCUUGGAGGCGCAGCAGACAAACUCUGGUCUGAACCAGAAUCUCAUUCUAGCUCCAGACACUAUUGUCAGCAAACAAUCUGAUCUGAGUUGGAAGAAAGAUUAAAGAGAUUAA